rnacentral:rRNA from 1 species
ACAACCGUGAUGCCCGGAGUAAUGGCGAAUGAAAUGGGCGAAGCUCAGCACCCAACUACCCGCCGAUUCGGUCGUGUAGAAUGUAGUGUUUGGGAGAGCCGCGUCGCGUGACGUUUGUGAGUUUAAGUUCAUCUUGACUGGGGCCAUUAUCCAUAGAGGGUGAUAGGCCCGUUAAACCACAGACUUUUCGUGCUGGUGAAUCCCUAGAGUCGAGUUGCUUGGGAGUGCAGCUCAAAGUGCGUGGUAGACUCCACGUAAGGCUAAAUAUGACCCUGAGACCGAUAGCGAACAAGUACCGUGAGGGAAAGUUGAAAAGAACUUUGAAGAGAGAGUUCAAUAGUACGUGAAACUGUGUAGUGGUAAACGGAGGGGUUUCUCGAAGUAUGCGCCGGAGACUCAGGCUAUAGUUGGCUUAGUUUUAUCCUUGGCUGGUGAUCUGUUAAAAAGACUCCUCGAGGUGGCCGAUGUCAACUAUUGCUGCAUUUUUCCGGCGCUCUACGCAAUGAACAGUUAGCCGCGUUCUGAAAGUUUGAGUAAAGUUUGUUGAAUUUAGCUCUCCGCUCCUCGUGGGUGUGUUGGCGAAUUUAAUGAGUCUCUUUCUCGGAGCUGCGCGGUUGGCUGGUAUUAGAGUGGUCUCGUUAUAACGAGCGAGCGUUCUUGCUAUCGCGGACCGCAUUUCUAUUGCGAGUAGGUCGGUGGCCCCUCCGACCCGUCUUGAAACACGGACCAAGGAGUCUAACAUGUGUGCGAGUCAUUGAGUGAACUAAACUCAAAGGCGUAGUGAAAGCAAAGUGCCUUUAUUGGUACGAGGGGUGAUUUCAACAACUAGUUUGGGUGAAUGCAGCCCCGGCGCUUCAAAUCGACUUUGUUUUCGUUUGGAGCAGCAAGAGCAGACGCGUUGGGACCCGAAAGAUGGUGAACUAUGCCUGGCCAGGUUGAAGUCAGGGGAAACCCUGAUGGAGGACCGUAGCGAUUCUGACGUGCAAAUCGAUCGUCGGAGCUGGGUAUAGGGGCGAAAGACUAUCGAACCUCUAG